UACAGAGGGUGCAAACGUUGUUCGGAAUUACUGGGCGUAAAGCGUGUGUAGGCGGCUUUGCAAGUCGGAUGUGAAAGCCCCGGGCUCAACCCGGGAAGUGCACUCGAUACUGCGGAGCUUGAGUGUCGGAGAGGUUGGUGGAAUUCUCGGUGUAGAGGUGAAAUUCGUAGAUAUCGAGAGGAACACCGGUGGCGAAGGCGGCCAACUGGACGAAAACUGACGCUGAGACACGAAAGCGUGGGGAGCAAACAGG
rnacentral:rRNA from 1 species